GUUUCAAGACAGGGUUUCUCUGUGUAGCCCUGACUAUCCUGGAAGUCACUCUGUAGACCAGGCUGGCCUCGAACUCAGAAAUCUGCCUGCCUCUGCCUCCCAAGUGCUGGGAUUAAAGUUGUGCACCACCACUGCCCAGCUUGGGGUAUUCUUUCCAAAGCAGUUACUCCACCUCAACCUGUCUCACCCUCAUAGGCGCGUAGCUCUGCAUGUAGUUUCCAUUAGUCUCCUUCUCAGGAAGGCCUAUGAGGGCACUGCUAUAACUUCAACACCAACCCCCCCCCACACACACACACACACCUCACACACAAUAGGUACUCAAAAAGUACAGGUUGAAUGUAUGGAGAAUGGCACCUGUAAACUUCAGAACCCUAGAUCUAGGAUUCUAGAAUCCCAGACCCAGUAAAUCACCACACUACAGAGUGGUUCAGGGCACAUCCUCAGAGAACCCUUAGGCAUAGGAAGUCAAAACCAGAAAGCUUUACCACUGUCUGGGAAAGAUGAAACUGAGCAGCCUCCCGAAGCGUGGGGGAAUAUACCUAUAACCAAUGUACUUGGGAGGCUGAGGCAGGAGGAUUGCAAGUGCAAUGCCAGUGGGGGUUUACAAAGUCAGGCACACACACACACACACAACAACAACAACAACAGCAACAACAACAACAACCCAGAAGGCUGGGAAAACUUACUAUCAAAUCAAGAUACCAACCUAGCCAGCUUAGAACUUUUGACUCUUUCUGGCAGUGGCUGCCAAACUAAGGUGGAGCACAAGCCCAGCUUUGCAGGGAGUCGAGUGAGACCCCCUGAGCUCUCCUAUUCUCCCAUCUGUCUCCCUUCUUCUCAGUGGCCAGCAUGGGGGAAGGGCAGUCAGAGCCUGAGCUCCAGAUGUGGCCCAGUCAGCAGGCUUGCGGUGGCCCUCCGAGGAGGACUUGGGGGAGGGGAUGCCUAGGCUGGCGGGUGCCUCACAAUGAGGUUUUGUCCCUCUGGGGGCGGUUCUCAGAGCUGCCUCUCUUAGGUAUAUAGAGUGAGAUUUUGCUGGAGGCCCAGCUGUGGGCACUGACCACAGCUCCCUCUUUCCAGCCGGGGCCCCACCGAGAGGGGGAGAGGGCCACACUGAGCGGUCCAUUCUUUUCCAGCUCUUGCAUCCAGAGGUUUGUCUCCUCCG
rnacentral:lncRNA from 1 species